rnacentral:rRNA from 1 species
GAUGAACGCUGGCGGCGUGCUUAACACAUGCAAGUCGAACGGAAAGGCCCAAGCUUGCUUGGGUACUCGAGUGGCGAACGGGUGAGUAACACGUGGGUGAUCUGCCCUGCACUUCGGGAUAAGCCUGGGAAACUGGGUCUAAUACCGGAUAGGACGAUGGUUUGGAUGCCAUUGUGGAAAGUUUUUUCGGUGUGGGAUGAGCUCGCGGCCUAUCAGCUUGUUGGUGGGGUAAUGGCCUACCAAGGCGUCGACGGGUAGCCGGCCUGAGAGGGUGUACGGCCACAUUGGGACUGAGAUACGGCCCAGACUCCUACGGGAGGCAGCAGGGGGGAAUAUUGCACAAUGGGCGCAAGCCUGAUGCAGCGACGCCGCGUGGGGGAUGACGGCCUUUGGGUUGUAAACUCCUGUCGCUAGGGACGAAGCGUUUUUGUGACGGUACCUGGAGAAGAAGCACCGGCUAACUACGUG